CAAUCUCUUAAAGCUAGGAUUAUAGAUGUGAGCCAGGUGGAGACUGAAGGCGUUCCGUGCUUCUGGGCCUGGUCGCGAUGUAGUGGUGGGAUCCGCUUCCUCUGGCAAAUUCUAGAAGGCUCCUGUGCUCUGUUAGGUCUGUAGCCCCUGGAUCCCUGGUUUCCUGUUGCUGGGCUCCGCGGGCUGAGCUGAGCCGCUGCCGCCAUGUUUGGCUGCCUGGUGGUGGGAAGGCUGGUGCAAACAGCUGCCCAGCAAGUGGCAGAGGAUAAAUUUGUUUUUGACUUGCCUGAUUAUGAAAAUAUCAACCAUGUUGUGGUUUUUAUGUUGGGAACAAUUCCAUUUCCUGAGGGAAUGGGAGGAUCUGUCUACUUUUCCUAUCCUGAUUCAAAUGGAAUGCCAGUAUGGCAACUCCUAGGAUUUGUCACGAAUGGGAAACCAAGUGCCAUCUUCAAAAUUUCAGGUCUUAAAUCUGGAGAAGGAAGCCAGCACCCUUUUGGAGCCAUGAAUAUUGUUCGAACUCCAUCUGUUGCUCGGAUUGGAAUUUUAGUGGAAGUAUUGGACAGUGUGGCUCAGCAGACACCCUUAGGCAAUGCCACUGAAUCUUCAGUUGACUCAUUCACUCAGUUCACACAGAAGAUGUAAGACAACUUCUACAACUUUGCUUCAUCAUUUGCUGUGACACCAAAUCCAUCUGAGAUGUUCAUUCCAGCAAAUGUGGUUCUGAAAUGGUAUGAAAAUUUUCAAAGACGACUUGCACAGAAUCCUCUCUUUUGGAAAACAAUUUAAAUAAAAUUAUUUUUUAUUGAAAAAGAUGUGAGCCCUUAGCACUAGCACCUUGCUUCCCAUUGAAUUUUGACAGCACUAGAUCAUUAUCACUUUAGCUCUGAAAUCUAGAGAAGUGAUUUUAGACCCUUAUCAUGGAACCCAAUAAGGUAAGCCAUGAGUAACUUGGUGUGAUAUGUAAAUGUAGGAUAUUGGGUUAAGUGUCUUAUUCAAUCUCAGUUUAAUAAAAGUAGGUUUACCUGUUGUAAUAAUUUUUCCCCUUUAAGUACUUUUGUUACGAAAUUGUAGUGUCUUUUACU